UCUGCUAAAGAUUGGGGUGAUGGUGGCAUUGUAAAUUGGCUUAGAGAUGAGAUGAAUUCUCACCCCGAAUGCAUACCAAGCUUCCUCGAGCUACUAAGAGUUUUGCCUGAGGAUCCCUGCUUCUACACUUGCUUCUCACCCAUUGGUGCUAACAGCUCUCUCUAGCUUGAAUUCUGAUAUCCUUUCAGAGGCAUCCGUGAAUGUUAUAUAAUCAUCAUUUUGGUGAAGAUGAUUGAUGACUUGAUGAAGCUGAAGAGAGCUAUGGAUGAAGUUAUUUUCAGAGAAUUUGGAGAGCACACUGAAUAUUAUUAUUUUUAUGAUUUUGUAUUGUCAUAUUGUAUUUAAAGGAGUUUUAUUUAUUUAUUUAUUUUAUGGAAAAUUGAAAAAUGAAUGCUCAUUCACAUUAUGGUAUAUAUUUUGAGAAUGGUGA